GAAAAGUGCGUCAAGGCACCGAAAAUGCGCCAUAGCUAAUAUUAUACUCAUUUGAAAACUCUCGACAAGCCAAAUUCAAAAAAAUAAGUAAUUAAUAAAUUCUGCCAAAAAUGAACAAAAUAUGCCUGCAUCGAGAAUUGCGCCAA
ensembl:ncRNA Y39B6A.78 ncRNA